rnacentral:rRNA from 1 species
GAUGAACGCUGGCGGCGUGCCUAAUACAUGCAAGUCGAGCGAACAGACGAGGAGCUUGCUCCUCUGACGUUAGCGGCGGACGGGUGAGUAACACGUGGAUAACCUACCUAUAAGACUGGGAUAACUUCGGGAAACCGGAGCUAAUACCGGAUAAUAUAUUGAACCGCAUGGUUCAAUAGUGAAAGACGGUUUUGCUGUCACUUAUAGAUGGAUCCGCGCCGCAUUAGCUAGUUGGUAAGGUAACGGCUUACCAAGGCAACGAUGCGUAGCCGACCUGAGAGGGUGAUCGGCCACACUGGAACUGAGACACGGUCCAGACACCGACGGGAGGCCGCAGUAGGGACUCUUCCGCAAUGGGCGAAAGCCUGACGGAGCAACGCCGCGUGAGUGAUGAAGGUCUUCGGAUCGUAAAACUCUGUUAUUAGGGAAGAACAAAUGUGUAAGUAACUAUGCACGUCUUGACGGUACCUAAUCAGAAAGCCACGGCUAACUACGUG